GACAGAGGGGGCAAGCGUUGCUCGGAAUCACUGGGCGUAAAGGGCGCGUAGGCGGGAUGGCAAGUCAGUCGUGAAAUCUCUCGGCUCAACCGAGAAACGUCGGCUGAUACUGCCGUUCUUGAGGGAUGCAGAGGAGACUGGAAUUCCCGGUGUAGCGGUGAAAUGUGUAGAGAUCGGGAGGAACACCGGUGGCGAAGGCGGGUCUCUGGGCAUCUCCUGACGCUGAGGCGCGAAAGCGUGGGGAGCAAACGAG
rnacentral:rRNA from 1 species